GCCCUAACGAAGUACUUUUGCUUUAACUAUUGUAGGUUCGGUUUUCCAAUUUGGCAGCAGCACUACAAAUUUCAACUUCACAAACAAUAAUCCAUCAGGAGUGUUCACAUUUGGUGCAAAUCCUAGCACAUCUGCAGCCUCAGCCCAGCCUUCAGGCUCAGGGGGCUUUCCUUUUAACCAGUCUCCAGCAGCAUUUACAUUGGGGUCAAAUGGGAAAAAUAUGUUCUCUUCUUCUGGAACUUCAGUUUCUGGUCGCAAGAUUAAGACUGCUGUUAGACGCAGGAAAUAAAGGUCACAUUGGUGUGUUAUACACAAGAAUUUUAACAACAGCUGGUGCCCUGCUUUCAGAUACUGGAUUGUGCUUUGUGAUGGGGUUUUCUGAAGUCAGAUCUGCCUAAGGACUUCUUUAGUUUUUGGAAUUUUCCUCCUUUCUCUUUCUUUAUGGAAGCCCCGUCCCCACCUCACCCACCCUCUUUUUAAAAAAUAAUAGCUAGACUGGUGACUGAUUGUUCAGCAAAAAUAUUUUAUCAUCCAGCAGAUUAUUCACUGAUUUGACAUAGUCUGGCUGUACCCAGGAAUGGAGCCUGCACGGCAAAUGGCUUUGUAUAGAACUUCUUUGUCUGCACCACUAUAUGCGUUGAUAAGCAUUUGUGGAAUGCAUUGAAAUUGUAAUUAUAUCUGAGGAAUUCUGUAUAGAUUAGAAUUCUGUAUAGAUUAGAGGAUGUUGACUGAUUUCUAUGCCGAGUUUGUGCUGGUGUAUGUGUGAAAUGAGUGAGUUGGGUGUAUUGUGCACUAAAAUUUUCUGAUAGAGGAAGCCUGAUUAAAGAAUGGUCCCUGCUAAGGACUUGUUAGAUCUAGUUCGGUUUCCAUUUAAUAAUUAUAUGCUAUUUCUAUAUUUUCAUUCUUCUAUCACCUGUCUUGCCUUUUUCAUUAUUUUAUUAUGAAACUUGUGUAAAUACAAUUUUGUUUCUGUACUUUUUUGGCAUAACAUAAAUCUGUGAACUUGAAAUUUGAA